GAUGAACGCUGGCGGCGUGCCUAAUACAUGCAAGUCGAGCGAACAGACGAGGAGCUUGCUCCUCUGACGUUAGCGGCGGACGGGUGAGUAACACGUGGAUAACCUACCUAUAAGACUGGGAUAACUUCGGGAAACCGGAGCUAAUACCGGAUAAUAUAUUGAACCGCAUGGUUCAAUAGUGAAAGACGGCUUUGCUGGCACGUAUAGAUGGAUCCGCGCCGUAUUAGCUAGUUGGUAAGGUAACGGCUUACCAAGGGAAGUAUGCGUUGGCGACCUGAGAGGGUGGUCGGCCACCCUGGAACUGGGACACGCUCCAGGCUCCUACGGGAGGCCGCAGUAGGGAAUGUUCCGCAAUGGGCGAAAGCCUGACGGAGCAACGCCGCGUGAGUGAUGAAGGUCUUCGGAUCGUAAUACCCUCUUUCUAGGUAUGAACAAAUGUGUCAGUAACUAUGCCCUUCUUGACGGUACCUAGUCAGAAAGCCCCGGCUAACUACGUG
rnacentral:rRNA from 1 species